GCCUGGGUGGCUCAGUCGGUUGAGCGUCUGACUUCCGGCUCAGGUCACGAUCUUGCGGUCUGUGGGUUCGAGCCCCGCGUCGGGCU
rfam:Felis catus isolate Cinnamon breed Abyssinian chromosome X, whole genome shotgun sequence.